rnacentral:rRNA from 1 species
UUUCGCAAUGCCCGAAAGGGUGACGAAGCGACGCCGCGUGUGGGAAGAAGGCCUUCGGGUUGUAAACCACUGUCGGGAGUUAGGAAACGCAGGUGCGUUAAUAGCGCACUUGCUUGACUAAGGCUCCAGAGGAAGCCACGGCUAACUCUGUGCCAGCAGCCGCGGUAAUACAGAGGCGGCAAGCGUUGUUCGGAAUUAUUGGGCGUAAAGAGCACGUAGGCGGCCUUGCAAGUCAGUUGUGAAAGCCUUCCGCUUAACGGAAGAACGGCAUCUGAUACUACAGGGCUUGAGCACGGGAGGGGAGAGUGGAACUUCUGGUGGAGCAGUGAAAUGCGUAGAUAUCAGAAGGAACGCCGGCGGCGAAAGCGACUCUCUGGUCCGAAACUGACGCUGAGUGUGCGAAAGCUAGGGGAGCAAACGGGAUUAGAUACCCCGGUAGUCCUAGCCGUAAACGAUGGGCACUAAGUAGAGGGGUUUU